GCCCACCAAAGCGACGAUCAGUAGCCGGCCUGAGAGGGUGGACGGUCCACAUUGGGACUGAGACACGGCCCAGACUCCUACGGGAGGCAGCAGUGGGGAAUAUUGCACAAUGGGGGAAACCCUGAUGCAGCGACGCCGCGUGAGCGAAGAAGUAUCUCGGUAUGUAAAGCUCUAUCAGCAGGGAAGAAAAUGACGGUACCUGACUAAGAAGCACCGGCUAAAUAC
rnacentral:rRNA from 1 species